CUUUGGCCGCCCGAGUUGUAAUUUAGAGAAGCGUCUUCCGCGCUGGACCGUGCACAAGUCUCCUGGAAUGGAGCGUCAUAGAGGGUGAGAAUCCCGUCUUUGGCACGGAUGC
rnacentral:rRNA from 1 species